UUUAUGACGACGGGCAGACACUGCCGGUUGAUGAAACCCUCGCCCAGGAGAAAUUUAAUAUCGAGAAACAUAUAUUGGAAGGGGGCAAAGGCCACAGACAGAGAUGUCUCAGACGACAGCAGGCGGACCUCAGAAAAUAAGAAUCUGACUAAUUCAGCAGCAGGGGACCUUUGCUCUGAUGAGCUCUCACUCUCAUCAAAUCAAACAACUGCAGAAGGAGGAAGUGAACGGCGACUUUGGAGACGACGACCUUUGAUCAGAAUUCGGCCCGUGUCAGUACAAAUGAUGAAGCGGGACAGUUCAAGGACGUGUUCGUUGGACUCUCGACAACAUCAAGUGGGAGCGUGUUUGUUCCCCCCCUGUGGAGGAGGCGAGUCAUCGAGAUCAUCUGCGCUUCCAUGACAACAGGCCAAACUCAAUCUGCUGCUGCUGCUGAUGAUGAUGAUGAUGAUGAGGACCGUGCCACCCGGCUCAAACUCCAGAUCGAAUAAUUGAGUUUACAUUUGAUUUAAUAAUAUUUGUGUUGAAUUAUACAUCGUAUGUGUAUUUCCCACAUGUAAAGGACAUAAUGUUCAAUAUUACGGAAAAUACAAUUGUGUUGAAGGAACCAAGGAAGAGCUACUCAGAACACUCCCCCUUUAAAUGUGACUCACACGCCAAGUGUAACAGAGCAGUGACCAGCCAGCAGCGACCACACACACAAGCCAGAAAACACACACAAUGCAAUAUAGUUUCAAUGUUGCCCACAGUGUAAUAUACACACGUUCAAACCACACAGAAGAAUGUUGUUCCCAACCCACGAGUCAUUUUUUUUAGUCUCAAGUCAAUGUAUACAAGUCUCUAUCCAGGGGGCGUCUCCCCACGCCGUGGGUCUGUUUUGGUUUCAGGUCGCCCAAAAGUCAGUAGGAGUGGUACCUCCUGUCCGGUUUGUUCGCAGCUGUGUUGUGUGUGUUUACCUUUCGUUUCCGGAAGACGGCGGGCAGCAAGACUCCGGUGACCGAACGGUCCCGCGCCGGGACACGGAGGGAGAGUUUGGGGGCGAGACGUGGAUAUAAACUGGUUCCGGUAAUGUUGAACGGACUGAACCCACCACGCGUUGUCGGGCGGAUUGACACAAGGCCCGGCGACAUCGGGACGGUCUGUCGGUCUGGCCUCUUCCGCGGUCGUCGCUUCCCGUGAGUACGCGCCAUUUUCCUUCUUCAAAAAAUCAGCCAGUCAUCGGGCCGCAGGAGGGGUCCGCGUCACGAGGGGGCGUGUCCUCGCCACAAGCUUACCUGGGUUACCUUCAGCCUGACUACUGCAAUUUAAUUUCUAAUGAAAAAAAUGAACACAAAAUAAAAAUUGAACACAGACUUUACAAACAAUUAAAAAAAAUACAUGAUUGAAGAAAAAAUCCAUUUAAAUCUGACUUUGAUAAUGUGAUCACAUGCUCCGCUUCCAAAUGUCUCUUUUCACAUUCAGUGUUGGCAACUGUUGGGCCCAAUAUUCCACAAUAUGAGUGAGUGUCUCCGCCAUGCUUUUUAGCCCCUUUGAUUCAAAAAAAUGCACAUCUGUUUUUACCAGCAGGCCAUAUGUUUCUCCUUCCUCCCCGGAGAAAGAGAUGAAAAGAGAGACUGAGAGAGAAAGGGGGACAUGAAAAGAGAAAAAAAAAAUAGGAUAUCAAGAACACGUUAAGGGGGGAAUAGCUAGAAAAGAGACAGUUGAUCAAAGGUAAAUGAAAAGGGGGGCAGAGAAAUGGAAAGUCGGAGAAGUGUUUGUAGUUAAAUCAAGUUGUGGAAGGAAGGAGCCCAAAAAAAAAAAAAUUGGAAAGAAGGGAAAUACGGUAGGAAGAAAGAAAGAGAGAGAGAGCAGCAGGGGAGGAAGGAAGGAAGUAAAGGAUGGCAAGACGUGGAGAUGGAAGGAGGGAAACGUGGGAGUGCAGGUCACUGGUUAAAAAUUCUGGUUGUUGCACUGGACAAAAACUCUGAAUCACCAUGCUUCUACUUUUCACACACACACACACACACACACACACACAACGUUUGGCUUAUGGUGGAUGCUGUGAAGGAAAAGCCAGAAACAGAGUCAGUGAAGUCACUUUAAAAGCCGGAAAAGCAAUUAAAACCUGCUAUAAUUAGCUCCCAGUGAAGUGGCUUUAUCACCCUAAGAAUGGUUUGUGUGUGUGUGUGUGUGUGUGUGUGUGUGUGUGUGUGUGUGUGUGUUUAAACGUCCUCCAGAGGGUAUUUCUCACAGCUAGAGCACAACUAUAGCUCACCAACACAAACAAACAUGGACGCGGUAGAUCUCAUUCACAAAAAAACCAAACCUGUCUGCAACAGAACAGAGGAAGCGACGUGAACAGAAGUCACGCGGCAGAACCCUGUCGGUUUCUGUCCGGAAGAGGAGGAGGAAGAGGAGUGACUGAUGAUUUUAUGGAAGAUGAAAGCGAUUCUCCGAUUGUGAAUUGAAUCACAGCUGCCGCUGUUGUGUUGGGAUUCGUCAAACGCGCCGCCGCUGCUGCUGCACAACUGUGACGGCGUUGUCUAACUGUGACAUCACUGCUGCGUGUGAGCAGCUUUUCUGACGCGUGUGGAGUUUGCGGAGGGACGACGGACGAAAAAACAAAAAUAUCACUCGGCAAUUCAUGCACACGGCAAGUUUCGAUCCCACUUUACUGAUUUGCUGUUGGAACAUGCGACACUGAUCCAUUUAUUCUUUUUAAACCCGUCUAUAGUGACACCGGUGCACUGAGAGUUUUAUGUAUCAGUGAGCUCCUCUCCUCCGACGCGGUGCCAGCGUCGAACCGAACAGAACUCGUUCCACUGAAAGCAGGAGUGAAUCCUGCAGCAGCAGUGAGUCCGAUUCUUUUCCUGAACCAUACAAAGGCGAGAUGUGAUGACUUUGAAAAGUAAAUGACUUCGCCAAGUAACGUUCUUCCUCCUGCAGAGGUUUAUUGGUGCUUGGUAAACAAACAAAUCGGAGCGUUAGAUUAGUCUUCACCAUAACGGAGUGUGAAUCACGGGACGUUUGGUUAUCACAUCUGUCGAAACAAAUGUGGCCUGGUGCCCAAAAGGAGCCUGUUCGGAACUGGCACCGUCCUGCAGGGAAAGAGGUUCCUGUGGUUAAUGAACCUAGAACCACAGAUGUGAUUCUAGUACAAUAUAAUAAUACUAUAUUUUGUUGCCUCCACUAAUUGCGGAAAUCAGCGUAGCUGAUCAAUUAAUCAAAAUAGAUUAAUACAAACUGUUGCAGCUCUACGAUAUUCCCUAAAUACAGUGAGUAGCUUUGAAUCGAGUGAACCAACUGUAUAUUGGGAAAUCUGGAGUUUAAAUAUGAAAUAUUGUUGAGGUUGUUUUUCUCACAGUACCUUCAUCAAGUAAGUACAAUACAAAUUUCAUAAGCACGGAGACUUGACUUUAGCUUGACUUUUGUGAUUCAUUAUGUGCUGUUUUGUAUUUUAUAUAUCUUCUUAUGGUUAGGGUGUGAGCAGUGUGCGUUUUUAUCUCUCUGUGUUUAUGUGUGUGUGUGUGUGUGUGUGUGUGUGUGUGUGUGAACAGAAGUUAGCGUCCUUGAGCGUGGCAGGGUUUGUCCUUGUGUGUGGGCGCAGGGAACAUCGAGUGAGGCGGAGAGAGAGAUGGAAUUAGCGUAGCCGGUGGACGGGGCUCAUUAACUUCCACUCUCUCCAUUGUCUGUUCAUUUUCAUUUCCGGCUUUUAAUUAUCAUUUCUCAGUUUUUACUGAUAAAUUCCAGGGCCCGUUCAUUAUGUGAAUGUGCUGUUUUUCAUUGAGUCGCAAAUUUCCCCUCCCGAUUUUCCGCCCCCGCGGCGGCUGAGACGGCGGCGAUGCUAAUUUUAUACUGUGUGUGUGUGUGUGUGUGUGUGUGUGUGUGUGCGAGUCCGUUUGUGUCUUAGUGAGGGAAGUUCAUGUUACUGUGUCUAAGUGCCUGGAUCUCACAGCCUUUUGUGCUUGAAAAAUUCUGGGAAUGUUGAAUUCAAUCAGUUGAUUACAUAGUGAAUAAUUAAGCGACAGCCAUUGGAACACAGUAAAAUGUUCCCCUAUCAUAUUUAUUUUCCAGUUAUGCAUAUUUCUAUGCCUUUUGGUAUUAUCAGCAGCCGCGGAGUUGAAGCAAUUCUAUUAUCAUACCAAAGGCUUCGUCAGUUCUAAAACAGUUAAUAAGAACUGAGGCCUCACACAGGAAGGGAUGAAACGGCUUCCACUCUGCAGGUCUACCUAGAAACAGGUCUAGGUAGAAUGAAUAAAAAAAUACAGGGCACAGUAGCUGGGAAAUAGGACGGCGGUGUCGUGACACUUGUGUGUGACCUGAGAUGAAAACAACAUGGCUGCAGGUGUCUUUGAUGCACAUAAUUCGCUGUUGGUCUUCAUUCACAGUCCACUGGAUAUUUAUAUUUGGUCUGACAAAACCUAAACACACACUGAUUCUGUCCCUGCAUCCGUUUGUUUUACUUGUCUCCGUAUGCAGCCACGGUAGAAACCAUCAACGCCACUCAUAUCCUUUAUUCGUGAGUUUGAAUUUCUGUCUUCGCUGACAGGAAACGCUGCUCCUGAACGCCUCGUUAGUAAUCCGGCCGAUACGUCCGUAAGAUGGUGAUGCGUAAGGCACGCCUAGCGGCUAGGGAAAGCCAGAGCGGAGGCCGACAUUUCCUACAUGCUCUGGAAGCGGUUGACCAAUCAGCACAACACAGUGGAGCCAGCUGGCAAAUCAGAGCAGACUGGGCUUCAUCGGGAGGGAGGGGCCUUAAAGAGACAGGAGGUAAAACCAAGUGUUUCAAACAGAGGAGCUGCAGGAAUGGACAGUCUGAUGAAACUGAUGUGUUCACUGAACUUUAGAGCAUGUAAACCUUUUCAAGUAAUAACCCGAGUUAAAAUUAUGAACCUGAAUAUGAGCAUCAUAUGUGUCCUUUAAGUCAUCCAAGUUGUCAUGUACUGGAAAGUGUGUGGGGGGGGAGUAAGUUGUUAAUUAAGUUGCUGCUGGAAACGUUUAUCUAGCCACUGUCUAAAUGCGGAGGUUUUGUUUUCACAGCAUCUAUUAGGGCUGAUUAUGAUGCUCGGUUUACCGCUUUGAUCAUUUUGCUCUUUUGUGCGGAGCGAUGCACAAACCAACAAGUGGAAGAGUGGAGCGCGUCUGUCGACUCGUGUGAUGGCUCUGUUCGGUAAACGUAAGAGAUGAUGCUUAGGCCCAGAGCAGAUGUUUCUAAGAUUCCCUAUGAACUAUGGUGUUGGGGAGUUCAGAGCUCUUCAAAGUCAGAAUAUUAAGGCAAAUAAGA
ensembl:lncRNA